rnacentral:tRNA from 1 species
AAUAAAAUGGCUGAGGAAUAAGCGAUAAAUUGUAAAUUUAUUUACGAGAAAUUCUCUUUUAUUG